UACGAAGCAAUCCCACAUAGUACUUUCAUCAUGGACAACUAUAGGAACCGCUUCCGUACAUCAAUUGUGCUACUCUCGAUGCUUCUUCUCAUAUGCUUUACUGCCCGUGCGCAAUGCAGGGUCCUGGAAGACAUGGAAACCGUUAAGAUCAAUAUACAUGGUCUAUGCGUCUGUGAUCCGAACUGCAAAGACUCGAUGUGCAUAUGUUGUUUAGCAAAUAAAUACUGUUAUUCUACAGUGGAUUAUUGCAUGGAAGACUGUCCAAAGACUUCUCCAUCAGACCAAGCAGCGAUGAAACGUUCUCCAUCACCCUCUUAUCCAAUCUAGUCAUAUGGACGCUGAUGUGCUCAUGAAUAAUUUAUUAUGAUAAACUAUGUCGUAAUUGUUUUGCUUUUCAAGAGCUGAUAAGUUAUAUAUCAAUCUUCAUUAUGA